AAAUUGAAGAGUUUGAUCAUGGCUCAGAUUGAACGCUGGCGGCAGGCCUAACACAUGCAAGUCGAACGGUAACAGGAAGCAGCUUGCUGCUUUGCUGACGAGUGGCGGACGGGUGAGUAAUGUCUGGGAAACUGCCUGAUGGAGGGGGAUAACUACUGGAAACGGUAGCUAAUAC
rnacentral:rRNA from 1 species